rnacentral:sRNA from 1 species
UCGGUUUGACAUACAGACCUUUCAAGCAGUCUAGUAAAGCAGUCCUCCAAGAGUUAUCCAUAGAUACCCUUCGACGUGCGCUUAUCCUUUCUCGCUUUAAAAAAUCUGUAAGCACACCUUUGCACUACGCCGAAAGGCAAACUUAAAUUAAAAGGUAAUAUCUAUGUCUGCUAAAAUGACUGGUCUGGUAAAAUGGUUCAACUCUGACAAAGGCUUCGGCUUCAUCACUCCUGACGAUGGCUCUAAAGAUGUGUUCGUACACUUCUCUGCUAUCCAGAACGAUGGCUACAAGUCCCUGGACGAAGGCCAGAAAGUGUCUUUCACCAUCGAAAGUGGUGCUAAAGGCCCAGCAGCUGGUAACGUAACCAGCCUGUAAGUUCUAGCCGAAAAGCAAGAAUUCUAAAAACCCGCCUCUGGCGGGUUUUU